GAAAACAGCAUACUUAUAUAAUUAACAAAAUGAGAGCCACAAGCAUAAGUGAUGAAAUUUGAAUCGGAAAUGAAAAUUGUGCAAUAAAAAAACUCCAUGUUCUCUUUUUUAUAAUUUACUUCUGCUUGCAGUUAUUUCGGUUUAUAUAUAAAAGUAAACAGAAAGAACUGCAAGCAUAUACUGUAUAUAUAUAUAUAUAUAUAGUACCUGUAUAAGUGGGUAACAUAACAAAAGAAAUUAACAUAAAAAAAAAAAACUCUGUUGUGUUGCUCCAUCAAAGUGUAAGACAAAAAAUUUUUAGCCAUCUGGAAGAGAGGGUUCAUAUUACUCUAACCAACACUGUGACUGUUGUGGAAGCCAAAAAAGAGAAACUGAAAGCUGAGCUGGAACUUCGCCUGCAGCUCCAUGAACCUCGUGCUGCAAGAAUACAGAUGGACAUUCACAAUGUCAGAGCAGGAUAAAUAAACUUCGUACCUCGCUUCAAACCAACCUGAACAAGCACAUCAGUAUCAUCCAGACUUUACAAAGAGACUUCAGACAGAAGACGGAGUUUACAUUGGAGGGCCUGAGGGAUGCAAAUGUUCAGAUAAUGAGAUCUUUCAAGCCAAAGACAAACUCAGGAAGUUUGAGGAGAAAAGCAGUUUCCUCGCUAUUGAUCUUAUGUUUCUUGAAAAAGUGCAACAAAUUUUUACAAACACGAGGGUCCAGAUCAAAAGCGAGGCAUGCAAAAGAGUAACAUGCAAAAAAAGACAAUUGACAGCAUGCUGACUAAUUUAAAGGAAAUGACUGCUAAGAAUGAUCAACCCAGCUCCGAUAAGAAGGUAAACGACCAUAUAUAUUAUUAGAUUUACAUUUAUGUCAUUAUAAUACUGGACUACA
ensembl:lncRNA